rnacentral:hammerhead_ribozyme from 1 species
AUUCAGUUGACGAGUCCCAAAUAGGAUGAGAUGCGUGUUCUGAAU